GCGCCUCUAGCUCAAUGGCAGAGCAGCUGACUCUUAAUCAGCGGGUUCCCGGUUCGAGUCCGGGGGGGCGCA
rnacentral:tRNA from 1 species